rnacentral:ncRNA from 2 species
GUCGAUCUCGCGGGAGAGCGAGGCCCUGCGCCCAGCGCGCCGGCCUCCGCCGAAGGCGCAAACUCCCAUAAUCGCUCAGGCACACCGAACCGCGAGAAACCG